rnacentral:rRNA from 1 species
AACCUACAGGUUUGACAUACAAGUAGUAGGGAAAGGAAACUGGACGACCCUUCGGGAGCUUGUACAGGUGCUGCAUGGCUGUCGUCAGCUCGUGUCGUGAGAUGUUCGGUUAAGUCCGCUAACGAGCGCAACCCUCGCUGUGUGUUACAAGUGUCACACGGAACUGCCGGUCAUAAACCGGAGGAAGGUGGGGAUGACGUCAAGUCAGCAUGGCCUUUAUAUCCUGGGCUACACACACGCUACAAUGGGAAGGGACAAUAGGUUGCGAAGCCGCGAGGCGGAGCCAAUCCAGCAAAACUUCCCUCAGUUCAGAUUGCAGGCUGCAACUCGCCUGCAUGAAGUUGGAGUUGCUAGUAAACGCAGGUCAGCCAUACUGCGUUGAAUACGUUCCCGGGGCUU